rnacentral:rRNA from 1 species
UACGUAGGGGGCAAGCGUUGUCCGGAAUCAUUGGGCGUAAAGCGCGUGUAGGCGGCCAGGUAGGUCUGCUGUGAAAACUCGAGGCUCAACCUCGAGACGUCGGCGGAAACCAUCUGGCUAGAGUCCGGAAGAGGAGAGUGGAAUUCCUGGUGUAGCGGUGAAAUGCGCAGAUAUCAGGAAGAACACCCGUGGCGAAGGCGGCUCUCUGGGACGGUACUGACGCUGAGACGCGAAAGCGUGGGGAGCGAACAGG